rnacentral:rRNA from 1 species
UACGUAGGUGGCAAGCGUUGUCCGGAAUUAUUGGGCGUAAAGCGCGCGCAGGUGGUUUCUUAAGUCUGAUGUGAAAGCCCACGGCUCAACCGUGGAGGGUCAUUGGAAACUGGGGAACUUGAGUGCAGAAGAGGAUAGUGGAAUUCCAAGUGUAGCGGUGAAAUGCGUAGAGAUUUGGAGGAACACCGGUGGCGAAGGCGGGUCUCUGGGCAGUAACUGACGCUGAGGAGCGAAAGCGUGGGGAGCGAACAGG